AGGCAGGAGAAUUGCUUGAAUCUGGGAGGCGUAGCUUGCAGUGAGCUGAGAUUGCACCACUGCACUCCAGCCUGGGCGACAGAGUGAGACUCUGUCUCAAAAAAAAAAAAAAAAAAAAAAAAGCUCCUAGCAUGGGGCUUGGGACACGGUGAGGACAAUUAAAUGUGAAUAUCACCCUCGUUAUUAUUGCAUAUCAUCAUCACCACCAGCAGCACCUUCAUGACCACCAUCAGCACUACCAGCAUCACCGCCAUUAUCAGCACCGCCACCCUCACCAUUGUUGCUAUCAUCCUUGUAAACCAAGAAGUAUCUGAGACAAGUCUCAAUCAGUUUAGAAGUUUAUUUUGCCAGGGUUAAGGACCUGCUCAGAAGAAAAGAACACAGAUUGACAAAAACGGUGGGUGGUCUGUGCCAUUCUCCAAAAAUGAUUUUGAGGGCCUCAAUAAAAAUCCUGGACAAGGCUACAAUCUAAUAACAAGUCUAUUAUAGUUUUUCUUGAGACAUAAUUUUUCUCUUUCCAAUUCCCCAAUUUUGUUAGAGACAAAAUCAUAGUAGGACCAAUUUAUUUGUAAAAUUACGUUUUAGUUUAAUGAUAGUUAGCUUGAUUAUUUGCAUAAAGUGCAGCAAGAAUUAUCUGCCGUAUAGGCUUUAAAAAAUUUUUGCUUGGCUGGAAACUUUUUCAUAAGGAAUCUAAGAUUAGACCUUUCCAAAAGGCUUGAGCCCAGCCAAGGAUUUAUCUGUGCCUGCAGAUACCUGUAUGAAUUGGGUGACUUCCUCUCUUUUCGAGGUCCCAAGAAAACGAUCCUGGGCCUGUCAGAAAGUGACAUUCUCACCCGCCACAGGUCAGAACCCUGUAAAGGACAAGGUAUGAGGCCAGUU
rnacentral:lncRNA from 1 species